GGCGCCCAUUUGUGAGGAGCAAAUCCCGUCUCGCAGUUAAAUGCUUGAUUUGAUUGAUCGAUAACCAUCCGUUUAAUUGGAUGGGAAUGGUCUGGUUCCUCUCUUUCUUUCUUCCUGAACCUCGAAUAAAAAAUCGAUCUCUGGACUAACUGAACUUGACUUGGGAUGGUUGAUUGCUCAAUUUCACGGUCACGUGCAUCUGCGGCAACCUCUGUCGCCGCAUUAUCCAGCGACCUCCAGUAAAAGCAAUCUUUCUUGUGCGCUCAGAGGCAUUCUUGGGAAUUUCAAACUUUUUGACCGCGGGUAGCGGCUUUGGAUUCGUGGGUUUCUUCUGGUUGUAGCUGAACAGGGGAGGGAAGAGGAGAGAAGAAGAAGAUAAAGGGGGGAGAGAGAGAAUGAUGGAUGACUGAUUUGGUUCUCUUAAUUGCCUCUGUUUUUGACUGAAUGAAGAUAAAUAAUGACCUGGGGAUUCAGUUGCAAGUUGUGUGCUGCAGUAACUAAGGAAAGAAGAAAAGAAGAAAGAGAGAGAGAGAGAGGUAGAUGGAUCAGAUCUAUCACUAUUGUAAAUGCAUGGGAGUGCAAAUAGAUAAAGUGUAAUCCUGAUUAUUUUUGCUUCAGAUUUGACUUUGCCUUGCCUGUUUGUGAAAAGUAA